UGCGGAAGAAAAUAUAAGAACAAUAGUGAAAUAAAAUGGUGUUUAAAAGUGUUGCUCGGCAUACACAAUAACAACUCUCGAAAUCUGAACACAUUUCCCAAAACUCGGAAUCUCAUGAUCACAAGCCUUUGAAUGUCUACUAGUAUCUAACUCCAGAAUAUCUAAUAAAGGAAAGGAAAAUACAGAAGGGCUAAUAAUAAAAAGGGGGAGUAGAAAGGGAUUCUUUGGUCUGCGGAAGCGGUAGAUAUACCUCGGAGUCUCUACAAGCGCCUCGUCUCAAGCUUGAUGAGUCUGAGUGGAGGUACCUGGAUCUGCACAUGAAAAAUAUGCACAGAAAAGGGCAUGAGUACAACACAGUGGUACUCAGUAAGUACCAAGCCUAACCUCGGUCGGGUAGUGACGAGGAAGGUCAGGGCCCUACUGAGAUUAAAUAAAAUAUAAGAUGUGACAGUAUAAGAUAAAGCAGUACAGUUGAAAGAUAAUCAUAAGAAUCAACACAGGAUAAUAAGGAUAACUACAACUGAAACAGAAACAGAAAACAAUCACCGGGAAUACCACUCUUCUCAAAGACAAUAAUUGGGGAUCUCCCAGUAUCCCGAGGAUCUCUUAGUUCCCUCAAUACAUGUCGGGGAUCUCUUGGUAUCCCGAGGAUCUAUUGGUACCCUCAAUAUACGUGUUAGGGAUCUCUCGGUAUCCCUCACCUCAAAUCAAAUUAUUAAUAUGUACAGGGGAUCGCCUGGGAUGUCGUCCCGUAGUCCCAAAGUAAAACACACAACAACAACACAAGGAAUACUCAAUUAAGCUAAAUUUCGUACCAAGUAAAAUAAGUAAUUCUAACCUAACAAGCUUCACAUAAUAUAAUUAUGGCAGUUUAAACAAUAAAGCAAUUAAGUAAAUUAAAUAUGCUUUUCAAAGCUAACAACAGAUUUAAAUUUCAAGUAGAGUAAACAAGAAAGGAAAACACAAUUUACGCUACUUAAGUGAAAAUAGGAUUUUUCAACAAUUAGCACAAGUACGCACUCGUCACCUCACGUACAAGGCAUUUCAAUUACCACAAUACCAAAUCCUAGGGGAAUGUCCCCCCCACAAGGUUAGGCAAGCCACUUACCUCGAACCGGCUCAAAAG
rnacentral:lncRNA from 1 species